AUUGAACGCUGGCGGUAUGCUUAACACAUGCAAGUCGAACGGUAACAGGCUUUCGGGCGCUGACGAGUGGCGGACGGGUGAGUAACGCGUAGGAAUCUGCCUUAUAGUGGGGGACAACGUGGGGAAACCCACGCUAAUACCGCAUACGCCCUACGGGGGAAAGCGGGGGAUCUUAGGACCUCGCGCUAUGAGAUGAGCCUGCGUUAGAUUAGCUAGUUGGUAGGGUAAAGGCCUACCAAGGCGACGAUCUAUAGCUGGUCUGAGAGGACGAUCAGCCACACUGGGACUGAGACACGGCCCAGACUCCUACGGGAGGCAGCAGUGGGGAAUAUUGGACAAUGGGCGCAAGCCUGAUCCAGCAAUACCGCGUGUGUGAAGAAGGCCCUAGGGUUGUAAAGCACUUUCAAUGGGGAGGAAAACCUGCCGGUCAAUACCCGGUAGCUUGACAUUACCUAUAGAAGAAGCACCGGCUAACUCCGUGCCAGCAGCCGCGGUAA
rnacentral:rRNA from 1 species